rnacentral:lncRNA from 1 species
CUAUAUUACACUCACACUCAUUUACGGAAAGUUUGCAGCAGGAGGGGGUUCAGGUCGGAAAAGCGAACAGAUGUUUCAUUGGGGAAGAGGAUUGUUUCACGAAUGCGUGCGGCCGUUGCGCGGAGUGGAGGAGCGCUUCCGCCUUUCCGAUGACUCGUGGCAGACGUCAGUUUUACAUUUUCAGCCUGUAUUGUCUAUGAUGUGGUACCUUGUUUUAACAACGACAGUUGUAAUAUACGAUACCACGUGUACACUCAAGAUAUCAUGGACGUGUUUUUGAACAUCGCCAACAUGCUGUCAGGGAUAUCAGGGGCGGCGUAAAUUGUUUCACGA